GAUGAACGCUAGCUACAGGCUUAACACAUGCAAGUCGAGGGGAAACGACAUCGAAAGCUUGCUUUUGAUGGGCGUCGACCGGCGCACGGGUGAGUAACGCGUAUCCAACCUGCCCACCACUUGGGGAUAACCUUGCGAAAGUAAGACUAAUACCUAAUGAUAUCUCUAGAAGACAUCUGAAAGGGAUUAAAGAUUUAUCGGUGAUGGAUGGGGAUUCGUCUGAUUGGCUUGUGGGCGGGGUAACGGCCCACCAAGGGGGCGAUCAGUAGGGGUUCUGAGAGGAAGGUCCCCCACAUGGGAACGGAGACACGGACCAAACUCCUACGGGAGGCAGCAGUGAGGAAUGUUGGUCAAUGGACGGGAGUCUGAACCAGCCAGGUAGCGUGCAGGAUGACGGCCCUAUGGGUUGUAAACUGCUUUUAUAAGGGAAUAAAGUGAGUCUCGUGAGACUUUUUGCAUGUACCUUAUGAAUAAGGACCGGCUAAUUCCGUGCCAGCAGCCGCCGUAA
rnacentral:rRNA from 1 species